rnacentral:rRNA from 1 species
UACGGGGGGGGGCAAGCGUUGUUCGGAAUUACUGGGCGUAAAGGGCUCGUAGGCGGCCAACUAAGUCAGACGUGAAAUCCCUCAGCUUAACUGGGGAACUGCGUCUGAUACUGGAUGGCUUGGAUUUGGGAGAGGAAUGCGGAAUUCCAGGUGUAGCGGUGAAAUGCGUAGAUAUCUGGAGGAACACCGGUGGCGAAGGCGGCAUUCUGGACCAAUAUUGACGCUGAGGAGCGAAAGCCAGGGGAGCAAACGGG